ensembl:ncRNA lncRNA:CR45420 long non-coding RNA:CR45420
GAUUAUCCCAGUCAGUCACAGGCAUUCGGUUGUUUGAUUCGAUCAAGUGAUCAGGCCGAUGACUUAAUGGCUGACCAGGCCAAGUAAUCGUGCCUCGCAGUCAUCAACAAAGUUGGCGCUCUGACACAUCGACUGACUGACUGGCUGACUGAUGAGCCACGGGAGUUAUAAAAAUUCUACAAUUAAAAGCGAAAGACGAGCAGGCACGGUAACAAAAAAGGCAGCCACAGCUGUCAAUUAUUUCGAGUACUUUUCACCAACGCCUCACGCAGGGCCACUGACAGCCGCUGCCGACUCCGAAUCAGAAGCUGUAUCUGAAGCUGAAACCAAGUCCAAAAGCUGGGCAAAAACCACCGGUCGAAUGCCUGGCAAUGCAGGGCAGCUCCUGCCGGGGCAUAAAUAUCGGCGGACCCAAUCCAUACUUGCAACUGCAUACUCGCAUGUUGCCCCGAACUGUCAAAUUAUUUCGAUUCAUGAAUAUUAACGCCCCAACAACGUCAGAAGCCGCAAACAAGAUGGGCAAAAACACAACAGAUAUCGAGAAUGAAUCUGGCAGCCUGGCAUGAUAAUACUCUUUCAAAAAAUCACCUGCAAUAAGUUGUAUUUCAUGUUAAC